UACAGAGGGGGCAAGCGUUAUUCGGAAUUAUUGGGCGUAAAGGGCGCGUAGGCGGCUUGGCAAGUGGAAGGUGAAAUCCCUCGGCUUAACCGAGGAACUGCCCUCCAAACUGCUUCGCUUGAGACCGGGAGAGGUGAGUGGAAUUCCCAGUGUAGCGGUGAAAUGCGUAGAUAUUGGGAGGAACACCAGUGGCGAAGGCGGCUCACUGGACCGGAACUGACGCUGAUGCGCGAAAGCGUGGGGAGCAAACGGG
rnacentral:rRNA from 1 species